rnacentral:rRNA from 1 species
CCCUUAGACGUUCUGGGCCGCACGCGCGCUACACUGACCAGUGCAACAAGCAUCCGUCCUUGGCCGACAGGCCCGGGCAAUCUUUGAACGCUGGUCGUGAUGGGGAUAGACUUUUGCAAUUUUUGGUCUUCAACGAGGAAUUCCUAGUAAACGCAAGUCAUCAGCUUGCGUUGAUUACGUCCCUGCCCUUUGUACACACCGCCCGUCGCUCCUACCGAUUGAAUGGUCCGGUGAAGCGCUCGGACCGCGGCCUCUUGACGGUUCGCUGUCGAUUGGCUGUGGGAAGUUCGUUAAACCUUAUCAUUUAGAGGAAGGAGAAGUCGUAACA